rnacentral:tRNA from 1 species
ACGAGAAUUUGUGCUCUGGACUACCUUGACAUGGUAGGGGUCACAGGUUCGAUCCCUGUCGUGCCCACCA